CGGCCACUGGCAACCAGACUCCUCGUCUGUUCUUCUGUGGACUACGCGGCUGCAGUCGGCGCCGUCCGCCCCUCGCUUCCUGACUGCGCCGCCAUCUUCCUCCCAUAGGCGCCGCGCUACCCCACAGCCAGGUCCUUUAGAUCCAGCGACGUUGAGCACAGGGCAAGCGGCGGCAGGAUCUGAUGGACGUUGCCAUCGUUUCCCUCGCAGCAACCUUCUCCACUCAAUGCCCCCCUGCUCCUAGCCUGCGAUGCCCUCCACCCUACCGGACGCCUGCACCUCGCCUUCGAACACGACCAUGCCUGAGGUAUUACCCCUCCCCUCCUCUACUUGUGCAUAUGGAUUGGUGAAUGAAUUUCAGAAAUCACAUUUGUCGCCACAAUUUCUGCCUUCUGCGUGGUGGCCUGUGGAGACCCAAUCUAGCAUGACGACAGCCAUCCGUGGUGGCCUCCUCGUCUGCUAUGUCGCACUCUGAUAGCAAUACGACGUCCUUCCCAUGCUGUUCAAGGUCACAUCCUUCCUCCCCUCCUCUGCUUGAUUUGUUUGAUCAGUACAAUAAUCUGCCUACCACCAACCUGUUCGUGAAAAUGCUCAGCACAGAUGGACGAGAUUUAAGACCUACCCACUACAUGUUCGAUAGAAUGCUUCUCUGAGUUAAAGUACGAGAACAUUGGACCGGAGACAUUCAGACAUUGUGCUGUUGUCCUUUCCAUACUACCAUUAUUAGUACAGUAUAAGGAACCACUAUAAUUUUGGUGGAUCUUUAGUUUCAGAUGGGUCUGCAUGAAAAAAACCCGAUGCUUAACAGAUCAGAGCUAUGGCUUGUAACAUUCUGCUUUGGAAAGAUGCCUUAUGUAUUGGUGCGAGAACUCUUUCAUUUAUGUUUGAAUCAGACUAUCAGAGUACAAAUAUUCUUACAAUAUUUCAUUUUAAAUUUGAUGGAAAAACUGCCUGCUUGUCUACAAUAUACAGACUUAUAGCGCAAUAUGUCAUUCUUAUCGCUGCUUCCUCACAGAUAAUAUGCAAAUUGCAUUUACAGAUGAUUGAUCGACACUUCAUGCACGGUUCUUCUCGAUCCAAGAGUCGCAUGAGAAGACAAAAGAUAGAGAUGCAGAUGGGUACUCGAAGAAGUCAGAUCUUGUUAAAUUAAAUAUGCUGUAUGGCUGAUGACAGUCGAAGAUCGACCAUGUUUUUUUUACUGUUUUGGGAAAAAAAGUGUGCAUUGUUUAGUGGAUGGUUUCAGCUCAUUCGGCUGAGCUGUGAUAACAAGUGUAUCAAUAUAUGUACAAUGUACGAUAUUAAAUUGUUAAUAAAAAUUCUUUUGAGAGCUCUCAUGA